AUUUAUUUUAAUUUAAUAGAUUGUACUUACUUAAUUAGAACAGUAAAUUCAGUAAGACACUGCAGACCUGAUCCUCGAAUUUCUGAUAUAGUAACCUGUACCGUAUCCUGUUUCAGUGGCUAUACUUUUGAUGACGAAACUACGGUUAAAGAUUUCAGGUGCAUUUACGACGGAAAUGAAUGGGUGGUCAAUGAAGAAAUAAUUCCGAAGAGAUGCAAACCAAUUAGUUAAUAUUUCUUUUAAAUUUUUAU